rnacentral:rRNA from 1 species
AGAGUUUGAUCAUGGCUCAGAUUGAACGCUGGCGGCAGGCCUAACACAUGCAAGUCGAACGGUAACAGGAAACAGCUUGCUUCUUUCGCUGACGAGUGGCGGACGGGUGAGUAAUGUCUGGGAAACUGCCUGAUGGAGGGGGAUAACUACUGGAAACGGUAGCUAAUACCGCAUAACGUCGCAAGACCAAAGAGGGGGACCUUCGGGCCUCUUGCCAUCGGAUGUGCCCAGAUGGGAUUAGCUAGUAGGUGGGGUAACGGCUCACCAAGGCGACGAUCCCUAGCUGGUCUGAGAGGAUGACCAGCCACACUGGAACUGAGACACGGUCCAGACUCCUACGGGAGGCAGCAGUGGGGAAUAUUGCACAAUGGGCGCAAGCCUGAUGCAGCCAUGCCGCGUGUAUGAAGAAGGCCUUCGGGUUGUAAAGUACUUUCAGCGGGGAGGAAGGGAGUAAAGUUAAUACCUUUGCUCAUUGACGUUACCCGCAGAAGAAGCACCGGCUAACUCCGUGCCAGCAGCCGCGGUAAUACGGAGGGUGCAAGCGUUAAUCGGAAUUACUGGGCGUAAAGCGCACGCAGGCGGUUUGUUAAGUCAGAUGUGAAAUCCCCGGGCUCAACCUGGGAACUGCAUCUGAUACUGGCAAGCUUGAGUCUCGUAGAGGGGGGUAGAAUUCCAGGUGUAGCGGUGAAAUGCGUAGAGAUCUGGAGGAAUACCGGUGGCGAAGGCGGCCCCCUGGACGAAGACUGACGCUCAGGUGCGAAAGCGUGGGGAGCAAACAGGAUUAGAUACCCUGGUAGUCCACGCCGUAAACGAUGUCGACUUGGAGGUUGUGCCCUUGAGGCGUGGCUUCCGGAGCUAACGCGUUAAGUCGACCGCCUGGGGAGUACGGCCGCAAGGUUAAAACUCAAAUGAAUUGACGGGGGCCCGCACAAGCGGUGGAGCAUGUGGUUUAAUUCGAUGCAACGCGAAGAACCUUACCUGGUCUUGACAUCCACAGAACUUUCCAGAGAUGGAUUGGUGCCUUCGGGAACUGUGAGACAGGUGCUGCAUGGCUGUCGUCAGCUCGUGUUGUGAAAUGUUGGGUUAAGUCCCGCAACGAGC